UACGUAGGUGGCAAGCGUUGUCCGGAUUUACUGGGCGUAAAGAGCGCGCAGGCGGUCGUUCAAGUCGCGUGUGAAAGCCCCCGGCUCAACUGGGGAGGGUCACGCGAUACUGAUCGACUCGAAGGCAGGAGAGGGUAGUGGAAUUCCCGGUGUAGUGGUGAAAUGCGCAGAUAUCGGGAGGAACACCAGUGGCGAAGGCGACUACCUGGCCCAUUCUUGACGCUGAGGCGCGAAAGCUAGGGGAGCGAACGGG
rnacentral:rRNA from 1 species